GACAAUGAAAAACAAUGCAAACGAGAAAACUAACGGCCUUAUUUAUAUAAAAAAAUGAACAAAAAACAAAUAUGUAACACAUAAACAAACGACAACCACUGAAUUACAGGCUCCUGACUUGGGACAGGCACAUACAUAAAUAAUGUGGCGGGGUUAAACAUGUUAGCGGGAUCCCAACCUUCCCCCUAACCUGGGACAGUGGUAUAACAGUACAACAUAAGAACGAACUAUAAAAAUCAGUUGAAAAGGGCUUAACUCAUCAGAUGGACAAAAAU
rnacentral:lncRNA from 1 species